CCGCGGUAAUACGAAGGGGGCUAGCGUUGCUCGGAAUUACUGGGCGUAAAGGGCGCGUAGGCGGAUAUUUAAGUCAGGGGUGAAAGCCCGGGGCUCAACCUCGGAAUUGCCUUUGAUACUGUUCGGCUAGAGUACGGUAGAGGGAGGUAGAAUUCCUAGUGUAGCGGUGAAAUGCGUAGAUAUUAGGAGGAAUACCGGUGGCGAAGGCGGCCUCCUGGACUGAUACUGACACUGAGGUGCGAAAGCGUGGGGAGCAAACAGG
rnacentral:rRNA from 1 species